UUAGUGAAUGUCUUGAAACUAGUCUUCGUUUGGUAAGCUACGCACGAACAACACGUAUUCUUGGGCUUCAAAUUGAAACGCACGCGUUCGCGUUUUAUUGUAUGUACAGCACAAUAACAACAACAAUUUAACUAUUUCUUAAACUCUACUGCAUUACUGUGUUUAAACGAGGUUUAAAAUAAAACUGCAACAACAACAAAAACUAUAACAAAACUCUCUUUAAAAACUUGGAUUAUUGAUUGGUUAAAGAAGAAAAAAAAACAACAAAAUAAAAGUUGCAUUUUACGCGAGUCCGGUUUUGCCAGCAGUUGCUGUUUGUUGUCUUAACGUUGUUUGUUAGCAGAGGAUCGUUUAAUAUAAAUAAAAAGAAAUACUCAUUCCUUAAUUUGGGAUUAAUUUGCAUAUUUUUCAUUUAAUCAACGUUUAAUUGAAAAAGGUAAGUCA